CUGCCCGCGUUCCGACUCCAAGCGGAGAAGGCGCUCGGAGAGGAUCGCGCCCUCGGAGGGAUGCCGAAGCGCCCCGAGGCCAUUCCUUUGUCACACCCGAGGGGACCCUGCGAUGUCUCGCCUUCGUGUUUACCGGAAACCCGCUCAUUUGACAGAAGGGGAAACUGAGGCCGAGAGAGAAGGAAAGACUUCCCCAGGCCACCCAACGAGCUGGAACCAGAACUCCGCGCCGCUUGCUCUAAGGGCCCCUGUGAGUGAGCACGUGGUUUUGAAAGAUUUAUCUGUAGAUUCUGUCAAGGGACGAUUCACCCCCAUUAGGUAAGUGAGGGCAGCCCUGCCAAAAAUAACGGGCCAAGAUCAGACGUAUAUUUUAAAAAUCCUUUUCUAGUACAUUUGGCCUCUUACACUUGGAAAAAAAAUUUCACCCAUCCCACUCGAAGAGAGACCCUGAGGUUUGAAGCCAUUGUGGCCCUUGGGCACAGCUGUUUCUGAGUCUGAGAGGGAAGUGGAAGAGGGAGCUGAAACAGUCAACCAAACGGCCCCCCUCUCAACAAAACUACACGACUAGGGAUGCUGGCCAAUUACAUUCUGGAAGCCUUCAUCCAUUGUUUCUAACAAUAAGUAAAACCAGGUUGAGGAUGAUGUAAAAAUAGUCCAAAUAAAGGUCCUGAACCUCCCUGGCCUCUUUCCAGGUGGGCGAGUCAUUACUUGGACUUGGCCAUGGUUUUUCUGUCUGAACAGUGGGGUCAGUGGUACCUGCCUGGCAGGGGUGCUGUGAUAAAUACACUAAGCCCAGUGUCCGUCCAUCUGUCCACAGAGGUGCUCACGUGAUGUAGUUACUAUCAACCCAGACCCAGCUGACUGUCUGGAAUGGUUCUUGGUUUCUACAGAAAUACUUAAUUUCCUUGAACGGAUAAGACUCCCUUUUUGUUUAGAUUUGUGUUACUUUUCUGCUGAGAAGCGUUGCUACCAGAGAGGACAAUGUGAUCUUCGGUGCUUUUAUUAAAAAUUGCUUUUCUUUUAAGCCUUGCAUGUCAGGAACAGAAUCUACUGUCUGCCGCGGCGGAACUUAGUUUGAGCACUGUGGCUGGAGAACAGCCCGGGGACGUGAGGUAAUUCCAAGGGCUGAGAGAGGCCCUGUCUUCAAGGGGUGCGUUUUGAGCCAGGCCACUGUCUAUGACAGCUGGUGACACUCUCUAAGGGUCUGGCCAGAGGUGGAGCCUUCCUGGCUUUACCUUCGCAGCAGAGCUGGCAGGCAGCAGCAAAGGGAGAAGACGCAGAUCUGCUCGGGGAGCCAAGCAGUUUGCUGCGAAGUUUCUGCAACGGUCGCCUGGUGUCCUGGCAACGUGCUUUCUGCCUACUUUUUCAGCACAUGCCACAGACUGACACCUUGCCCUCAUUCAGGGGGAUGUUAUAUAGUUCUUGUGUUUUCUAGAUGGGUUGCUGUCUUUUCGGACAAUUGUGAUUUGGGAAAAGAAGAUAAAAAUUAAGUUACUUUUCGUCUUGGUUACUGCAGUGUUACCAGCAACAGGAACUGUACGUAGCAUGGCAUGGAGGCUACAUUUGUGGAUUGAACAAAUUUGCUUAUUUGUUAAUAGCUCUGACAAGCCACCAUUUAUAUAGUACCUUCCAGGUGCCAGGUGUUUUACACACAUCAUCUUUGCUCUUCCCAAAGAUCUCAUGGAUGUGAUACUGACUUUCCAAUGAGAAAACUGAGGCUCAGAGAGGGUGAGUAACCUACCUACGGUCACACAGCAGUGAGUAGCACAGCCAGAAUGUCAGUCUAGUCUUCACUGACUCAAAAGUUUGUGCUUUUUAGAGAACUCGUGGCAUCUCACCUCAUGGAGGCUGGGGUCCGGAGUGCAUCAGUUAAAAGAGUAUGUGGUGAGGUUCUAUUCUAUUUUGUGAAAAACUUUCAGUUGAGUUUCUUUUCAAAGAUCUUGUAUUAUAAACAGCAGCAUUAUACAAAUGUUGGAAAACAGGAGGAAACAAUGAUAAUCCCAGUUUCCUGAUAUCUUUACUUUUCCGCAUGUGCAUUAUUAUUCUUUUCUGCAUUCUUCAUAUUCUCUAAAAUGGGCAACUAUUACCUUUGGGGGGGAAAAAAAAGAAUAACAUUAAAGUCCUACCACUUUUUGCAACCGUU